CGUUUCGAUACGGAACAGCUUCGAAGCACGGAACCAAAGCCAUGUGACUCACACCAGCCAGUCACUGCUGCUGCGUGUGUUGUGCGGUGUGCGGGUGUUGGAUUCUGUGUUUUCUCGGACAAUGGUUGUUCAAGUGAAAUAGAAAUACCUAAGCCUUACCAUAAGCCUAUUCCCAACGGGCCACCGGGGAUGAUUUGGAGAUUAAAUUGGAAUUUUCUCUGAUGAAUUUGUCGGGAUCUGCGUGAGGACACUCAACGCAGGUAUUCUCCGCGUUUCAUGCAUGCCUGCAGGAACAAGCCACGAGUUUGCCUUCCGACCUGCAGGUUGUGUUUGCAAAGUACUUGUUACGGAUGAACAGUUCCCGCCGUGAAGUGGAAGUGUGUUGUUCGAAGGUUAAAGGUUUGGGAGCUGGAGUGAACUGACCUAAAAAGACCUAAAAAAUCUUUUCGUCAUAAAAUUUUUGCUGCAAUUUCUGGUGACCAAAUAUUUGUUAUUUGAGAGUAAAAAUGCCAAAAAAUACACUCAUCCUGUACAUAAUUCGACAGAGUUUGACAAACAUCAUAAAGUUAAGGAGUAUCAUAUUUACUGAAUGAAAAUAACAAUAUAUUUUACAAACUUAUAGUAGCUUCCUUCAGCAUGGCGGUAGUGUUGUAAUGCUACAGUUUAUGAGUAAUACCUUGUUUAAAUAUAUAUAUUUUGUUUGUUGUCAAUUACUCGUGUAUUGUGUGUUUUUUUUUUAAUAUUGUAUUGUUGGUUUCCUACAUUUUUAUCAUUGCAUCCUUAUUCUCUCUUUCCAUGUUUCCCUUCCCUUCCCCACCUGUCCUUGUCUCGUUGUGAUUCAGUGUCAACAUACCAGUUAUUCCCUCUGUGCAUUUGUUCUUACUCUUCCAUUUCAUUAAAUUUUCUUUUUAUACCUUAAUUUUUCAUCACUGUUUCCUCACCCUCCCUUUGUUUUUUUCUCACUUGUUCUCAGUUUCUCCUUUCACUGUUGCCUCCGUCCUUCCUUGUUUUACGUCCACCUCAUUUUUUUUCUUCAUUACCACUCCCUCAUUCUCUCUUCAUGUCCUUCCAUUUGUUUUUACUUCUCUUACUGUUUCUCUCAGGUCUCGUUCCCCGUCUAUCCCACUUCUUGGUCCCCUCACCAUUGCCGCCUCAUUCUUCCUCCUCGUCUCCCUCCCUACUCUUGCACACAUUACUUCACUGCCUCCAGUGGCCUCCAGUAUUCGUCGGCUACUUCCUCACGAUGUAAGCUUCUUAGCACCUCCAUCACACCCUUGUUGACUUCAAGAUUUUACCCUCCCGACUCUUGACAUAACUUCACCUCUCAUACUUUACACUUUCCUUUUCCCUUUCCUUCCUUUCCCUUCCUCUCUUCUCUUCCAACCUUCAACGUGGUCUUUCCCAAUUCAAACUUUCCAUCUCCUUUCACUCUUUAUCUCAUAUCCUUACUUUUCUGUAGUCUAUACCCUUGUUUCUUAUAUUCUAGACUCUCUCUCUCUCUCUCUCUCUCUCUCUCUCUCUCUCUCUCUCUCUCUCUCUCUCUCUCUCUCUCUCUCUCUCUCUCUCUCUCUCUCUCUCUCUCUCUCUCUCUCUCUCUCUCUCUCUCUCUCUCUCUUAUAACUUUUCAACUUAUUAUUGCUUAGUAACCCUUCCUAACCCUGUUCACUUGCCCUUUCCUGUUCCUACUUUUAUAACUGCCAUACCUGCCUAUCCCAACCUUUCUCUUACCUCUCCAUUUUCCAGCCAUCCCUGUUCAUCUUAGCCUCUCCUUUCUCUUACCCUCUCAUCCCUGUCCAUUUAAGGCUUCUUCUCUUAUCUUCCCAUCCUAGCAUCUUUCUUUUCUUGGCUUCCACCCCAGCCUCUUCCUUCUGCUGUCAUUCCACUCCAGCUUCAUCCUCAUCUUGUCCUUCCAUCCUUGUUCAUCCCAUCCUCUUCCUCCUCUUGUUAUUUCAUUUCAACUUCUUCCCUUCCCAUCCCUGUUAAUCCCAGCUUCUUCCUUUUCACUGUCAUUUCAUCGCAGUUUUUCCUUAUCUUGUCCUUCCAUCCUUCUCCAUCCCUGCCUCAUCCUUAUCUUCUUUUCCUUGUACCGUCAUUCCGUUCCUAUUUUCUUCCGUAUCUUAUACUAUCUCUGUUAAUCUCAGCCACUUUCCUGGCCUUCCUCUCCCCAUCCAUCGAUCUUCUCCGCUCAUGAACUAUUCCAGCACCUCCUAUCCACCUCCUCUCCAUCAAGCUUUCCCUCUCCUCAUCCCCCAUUCAAGGCUACCUGAAUAGACCACCUGUGCAAUA